rnacentral:rRNA from 1 species
GGACAACAGUUGGAAACGACUGCUAAUACCGCAUAAGCCCACGGCCCGGCAUCGGGCUGAGGGAAAAGGAUUUAUUCGCUUCAGGAUGGACUCGCGUCCAAUUAGCUAGUUGGUGAGGUAACGGCCCACCAAGGCGACGAUUGGUAGCCGGACUGAGAGGUUGAACGGCCACAUUGGGACUGAGACACGGCCCAGACUCCUACGGGAGGCAGCAGUGGGGGAUAUUGCACAAUGGGGGAAACCCUGAUGCAGCGACGCCGCGUGGAGGAAGAAGGUUUUCGGAUUGUAAACUCCUGUCGUUAGGGACGAUAAUGACGGUACCUAACAAGAAAGCACCGGCUAACUACGUGCCAGCAGCCGCGGUAAAACGUAGGGUGCAAGCGUUGUCCGGAAUUACUGGGUGUAAAGGGAGCGCAGGCGGACCGGCAAGUUGGAAGUGAAAACUAUGGGCUCAACCCAUAAAUUGCUUUCAAAACUGCUGGCCUUGAGUAGUGCAGAGGUAGGUGGAAUUCCCGGUGUAGCGGUGGAAUGCGUAGAUAUCGGGAGGAACACCAGUGGCGAAGGCGACCUACUGGGCACCAACUGACGCUGAGGCUCGAAAGCAUGGGUAGCAAACAGGAUUAGGUACCCUGGUAGUCCAUGCCGUAAACGAUGAUUACUAGGUGUUGGAGGAUUGACCCCUUCAGUGCCGCAG